rnacentral:lncRNA from 1 species
CAGGAUGAGACUUCUGUGAGCAGUGAAGAUUUUGAUAUGAAUGACUCCACAUGGAUGUCAGCUGACCCCCACCUGGCCUCCAGCCUGAGCCCCAACCAAGAGGAAAGGAUGCGGAGCCCGCAGAACCUCCAUAGCCAGGAGGAUGAUGACUCCUCCUCCGAGAGCGGCAGUGGCAACGGCUCCUCGACCCUCAACCCAUCCACCUCCAGCAGCACACAGGGUGAUCCCGCCUUCCCCGAGAUGAAUGGCAACGGAGCUGCAGCCCCCAUGGACUUCACUGCCAGUGCUGAGGACCAGCCCAUUAACCUGUGUGAGAAGC